UUGAUAGCCUCGGAGACUGAAAUUCUCUAUUUAUUUACAGAACAGGUGCAAUCCAGCCAGUGGGAGCUUCCCUCAUCACUACCACUGCACCUCAGUCCUCACCCACACCAUCUGGAAGGCCAAAAGAGUGGUUCAGUCUGCAUGCCCAUGGUGUCCUUGGACCUU
rnacentral:sRNA from 1 species